GGUGCCUUCUGAUUUUGACGCUGAAAGAGAGAGGAGGGAGGGAGAGAGAGAGAGAGAGAGAGAGACUCUUUCUGGCUACCCAUUUGGCCAUUUGAAGCAUUUGACCCCCCUACAAUCCACUUACUCUCUUCUUGUUUAGCUUCAGGGAAAUCAAGUUCUGGGCUUUGUUUUGAUCUUCAUAAUAUCUAAAUUAAGAACUGGGUUUUAGUUUUAUGUGAAGAAGUGAGGUUCACUUGAAAUCUUGUUUCAGAAAUGGACAAAAGAAAGAAAAUAGUUUCUUAUUUGGAUAAAGGUGCAGAGGUUUCGACCCAAUUAUUGGUGGAAAAGCCUCUUCUACUUUUCAUACUCCCUCUGAUAUUAAUUGUUUGGGUUAUUGAGAAAUGGGUUUUCUCUUUCUCCAAUUGGGUUCCUCUUGUUGUGUUUUAUUCAUUUCAUGACAUUAUGAUCUUCCCUCAUUUUGAAAUUGUGAAUUUGUCUGAUUGUUGGUGUGUGGUAAUUGGAUUUACCAUUCUUCUAUUUUACUCUCUUCUUUUUUUCCUUCUUCUUUUGAUUGAUUUAAUUUUUGAUUCAAUACUCUUGCAAUUAUGAUCUGGUAAUAAAUAUUAGGCCAUUAUGAUGGCCACUUCAACUCCAAGUUUGAUGUCUACUCUCUGUCUCUCUCUCUCUCUCUCUCUCUCUCUCCCCUACUCCUCUUGCUUCCAUAUCUACGCUUCAAUUAUAUGUGUGUAUGUAUAUGCUAAAUCCCACAUAUUUUUAGUUUGCUUUCUUUCCUCAUAAUAUUAUGAAUUUGGUACUCAUGAUUUUUUGAGUUUAUAUAGACUGGUCUGAUUGUUGGUUUGAGCUUUUGGUCUUCUCUCUUCCUCUUCUUUUUGAUUGGUUUGAUUUUUGAUUCAAAACUCUUGCAAUUAUAAUCUCUUAAUGAAUAUUAGGCCAUUAUGAUGGGCACUCCAAGUUUGAUGUCUGCUUUUUUGUGUGUGUGUGUGUGUUGUGUGUUUCCUGCUCCUCUCUCUUGCUUCCAUAGCUACCUUUUAAUUAUCUUUAUGCAUACGUAUAUUUUGUUUUCUUUCUCUCCUCAUGAUUUGCCAAAUUCAGUAAUAUUAGGUGAUGUGUUGAAACUUAUAAAAGUUACUUUUCUGAUUCAGUUUCCUUUUGUAAUUCUGAGGUCAUUCUUAUCCAUUAGAGCUCAAUGUCUGCAAGGAGUCGCUCUGACUGAAUUUUCACCUCUUUAACAUUGUUUCUCUUUAAUAAGGAGAUUAUAGAUUUAUACUUGUCGUAAAAUUUGGUGCACUUUUCCAACUGAAGUUCUUUCAAUGGAGAAAUGGAGGUUACAAUACAAGAGGCCAUAUUUUCAUGUUAGAAAAACCACUCAAAUCCACUAUGCAUGAUAAGGAUUACAAAGCUCAGAACUUCUCAACUCCACCCCCAACAAUACUGUCUCCGUGCUCCAUAAAAGGCCCAUCACAGUAAAAUAAAGUGUAAAGUAAAAAUACAAGAUACCUUACAACACAACUAUUAUAUAUUUGACACGUUUGACAGAAGCUUGUGUGCUAACUACUUUGUGGUGUUAUAGAGCUCCACUAGAUAUAAGUUCAGCAAUAGGUGCAGGCAUUUAGUGAGGUUCAACAGCGUUAUUGGAGAUUAAGUGGAUGGGGGGAAGCAGAAAUCUUUUGCCUUGUAAAACUGAAUACAUUUGCAGACACAGAGUUCAUUGUAUUGCUUGAUUAAGUUAAUAUUGGAAGUUUUUAUUUCUGAUUUCACAAUUCUUAUGCUAUUGUAAAAAGAACUCUACAAUAGGUAUCCCAUUACAGUAUUCUAUGACAUUGUUUUUACUUGCUGUCUGUGAAGUGUAAAUCGCAGGUAUGAUUUCAUUGGUGCAAUUUGCUCGAUUUAGUUCGUAUAUGGUUUGGCUAGGCUACUCAAUUGCGAGGGCCCCUAUGUGUACAUACUGCAUAGACGGGAGAACUAUCUUUCCCUUUCCCUUUUUCUUUCCCUUUCCAAAUCCUUUUCUAAAUCACUCAACCAAACACAACGUUAAUGUAAUUAGUUCCUAAAUCACCCAAAAAAUGUGUUUCCUGAAAACAUUGAGGGAAAUGCAAAAACAUAAGACAAUGAGUAGCGAAUUCCAUAGCCUAAAUAGUAUAUACAUAAAAGCCAUAAUUAAGUAUUGGUCCAAUCCAUGUGGGUGGGCCGAUGUGUCAGAAGAGUUGACAGGUGCUCUUCAUGUAGACCCAACACUGACUUAAUUCUCAAAGAGCACAGAAUGCCCUUAAUUCAAAUCUGCAUUUGUACGUUUUCAAAAUUUUACCAUUGAUGAGUCUGUUAGUUGGUAAUUUCUUCUUUUCUUGUUUUGUUUCAUUUUUUGUUUUUAAUUAAAGCAACAUCAUCUGAGUCUAUAUUACAAGUUGAGCAUGAAUCUUACUACUAUUGUAAGAGAUAUGCCAACAUCCAGGAACAUGUCAGCCCUAAUUAAUUACGUUUCCACGUUGAAAUAUGCUUUUUGCCUCACAUGAAUGCUUUUAUUAUGGGUCUUAAUCUUGGAAUAGGUCCGGAACAUUCUUUCUUAGCCAUUUUUGCAAUAUUUGGGAGCUAUCUUGCAGAGCUUUUGAAUAUUAAUUACUUGAAUCCAAACCAGUAAGCUGAUUUUUUGAGGUUCUUGUUCUUGCUUUGCUUGUGACAUUGGAAUCAAUCCUAUAACGAAGUUUCUUGAAAAUUGCUUGAAAAUAAAUAAUUCAUGUGCCUAUGAUAGAGUUUAUUUAUUUCUUCUUUUUAUCUCUGUUGCUUUUCUCUUUUCCAGAUGAUCUGGAUAUCAUUGAAUGAAAGGAUAGGAUUAUUAUGGUAGAUAUUUAAAUGCUCUGACAUAAAAUUUCAUUCUUUUCAUCUGCAGUAUAGUAGUUAUCAACGACAAAUCCAUGUAGAGGAUUGGAAUAGAAAAUGGAAGCAAGUCAUACUACACACGUCGCCAGGAACACCAUUGGAGCACUGUGAGUGGCUGAACAAGUUAUCAAUGGAAAUUUGGCCAAACUACAUUCACCCAAAGCUUUCCACAAGGUUCUCAUCUAUUGUCGAGGACAUUCACUUGAGGGAAGGAGAAUUAAUCUAUCUACAUGGAUCCGUUUGGUGUAGCUAUUAAAACAGAUUAUAGAUUAUAGAUUUUUUUUUUUUUGAUCGGCAUAGAUUAUAGCUUAAUAGAUUAUAGAUUAUGACUUUAAUCAGAAAUUGUUAAU